UGGGGAAUAUUGCACAAUGGAGGGAACUCUGAUGUAGCGACGCCGCGUGAACGAAGAAGGCUUUCGAGUCGUAAAGUUCUUUUAUAUGGGAAGAUAAUAACGGUACCAUAAGAAAAUGUCCCGGCUAACUACGUGCCAGCAGCCGCGGUAAUACGUAGCGGGCUAGCGUUGUCCGGAAUCACUCGGCGUAAAUGGUUCGCAGGCGGAAAUGAAAGUCAGGUGUAAAAGGCAGUAGCUUAACUACUGUAAGCAUUUGAAACUGCAUAUCUUGAGAAGAGUAGAGGUAAGUGGAAUUUUUAGUGUAGCGGUGAAAUGCGUAGAUAUUAAAAAGAAUACCGGUGGCGAAGGCGACUUACUGUGCUCAUUCUGACGCUGAGGAACGAAAGAGUGGGUAGCAAACAGG
rnacentral:rRNA from 1 species